ensembl:lncRNA
GAUGGUGGUGAUGGUGAUGGUGGUGAUGGUGAUGAUGGUGAUGAUGAUGGUGAUGGUGGUGAUGGUGAUGAUGGUGAUGAUGAUGGUGGUGAUGGUGAGGAUGGUGAUGAUGGUGAUGGUGGUGAUGGUAGUGAUGGUGGUGAUGGUGAUGAUGGUGGUGAUGGUGAUGAUGGUGGUGGUGGUGAUGGUGAUGGUGGUGGUGGUGAUGGUGGUGGUGGUGAUGGUGGUGGUGGUGGUGUGAAGUGCACUUUGCAGUGUUACUCUGUCAGUUCAUAAGUACAUGUGGUGUCCAUUCUGAGACCCAGGGAGUGGUGAAUUCUGCACUUGUCACUUGCUGGCAUCCUAGGGUACCACCGGCUAGGUGACUAACAGGAAGGCUGUGGCACAUUCAGGGUGUUGGCAGUGCACACUCCCUCAGCAUCUCGUCUGGUCCCCAUGGGCCUAGCAACCCUGCUGGACUUGUUCAUUGAGCCAGAGCAGCUGAGUGAGUUGUCCAGGCUGCUCCAGUCUGGUGCUGUCUCCUGGGAAACUGGCUCUUUCCAGAGCAGAGUCAUUCUAUCAGCCCGGGAAGUCCCUGAAUUAAAGAUGUGGAAAUUUGGGAACUGUGGAGGUGGAAAUGAGCAAACCAAAGCAGAAAGAGGCAAACAAGGAAAACCUUGGCGGAAUGGGAGCUAAGCUAUCCUGUGUCGAGAGAGAGAGAGAGCGCGGGAGAGGGAGAGAGAGAGAGAGGGAGAGAGAGACAGAGAUUUGGGGAUGGACUGAGACACUGAGACAUGGACGUGGCACGAUGACAAUGGAGAUGGCGGCCCCUUUGUGCCCCCUAAGAGGAUCUGAAUGUGGAUAAGCGUGUUGGCCAUGGGGCCGGAAGUGUUGCCUUUAACCUGCUGUCUUUCUCCUUAUUAAUUAUAUAAUUUUGGACAAAUAGCAUCCACCCCUCUGUGCCGAGUUUUCUGGUGUGCACAGGAUGAGAACAACCGUGUCUGUGCGUUGAUUGUCCUAUGGUACCUUUGUGCAGGGGGAUUGUGGGUACUUCAUCCCCGCCCCAAGGCAGAUAACUUUGUGAAGAGAAAAGGUUUCCUUAGUUUACAGUUUGAGAAGUUCAAAACCCAGGUGUCAGCACCGUGGGUGUGGCAUCUGGAGAGAAUGGCAAGUGAUGGCACGUCACAACCGGAACUCGUGUAGUAGCAAGCAGGCCUUUCUGGAGAGAAAUGGCAUGUGUUAGACCAGGUUUGCUUUCUAAUAACAGCCUUCUUCUGAGGGGUCCCAGGAUAAUAACCACAGUCACAUGAGAACUCCACACACGGCCCUCCCCACCAACGACCUAAGAAGCUCCUAAAAUGUCUCACCUCUAGGAGACCCCACUGCCCCCAAACAAGGCCAUUCUGGAGAUAGCCCUUGAGGGAUUAGCGUAAGUGGCUGGAGCCUGCAUCUCUUCAGGAGUUUAAGGAGUUAAGAGUUGCAGUCUUGGCUCUGCCUUUUGCUUUUGGAUUCGCUUUGAGUUUUGGAAUACUUAUCUCCUCCAAACCUCAUCUGUUUCACCUGCAAAAUGCAAAAGUAUCAGUCUGUAGGGAGGGUGUGAGGGUCACGUGAUCAGUGUUUAACACCGACUCUUGGGACAGGACUUGAUUUGCAGCAUCUGCUCGCUCAUUCCCACGGUGCAAAUGCUCCCACUGCAGCUGACUUCAGGGUAGCAUUGCAGUGUCUCUGAAGGUGGAGUCAGAAGAAACGGGCAUCGUUAUCUUCCAUCCCCACAGCACGGAAUCAAGACAUUACCUGAGCCUAGAUAACAGUUAAGGGCAGUGAAGUAAUUAGGAACUGAAGGGCUCUUAUUGCAUUUGUUUUUUAAUGUAAUUUGUUUAAUUGUGAGCUUACAUAAUAUAGUUUUUAAUAACUGCUGUUCAUAACCGGCUUGCAAAGUUCUUGAAAAUUUAAUAAUCAGCUCUGGCAAGCUGGUCCAAGCUGGCUUCACAUACUGUUGAAUGUGCUAAAGCUCCAGCGAGGCCUAGAGAGGACACGGCAAGUACGCAGUGCUCCAUCAUCGGGAGCCUAUGCAGUUGUUGUUAUGUGUUUUAUUAUGCAAUCUCUGAUGACAGUAGGGGGAAAAAACAGGCCGUGGAAAAAAAAUCUGUAGUAGUUGCCUUUUCCACUCCUGCAUCAAAAGACUCAACAGAGCAAGUUUGGGCAGAGAGAUUUCUUUGGGCUGACAGUUUCAGAUGUUAGUGUUAGUGCCUGAUGGAGGUGUUGUUAGUACUCAAUGGUGUGUGGUCCUGAUGGAGAUGUUAGUACUCAGUGGUGUUGUGAUCCUGAUGGAGGUGUUAGUACUCAGUGGUGUUGUGAUCCUGAUGGAGGUGUUAGUACUCAGUGGUGUGUGGUCCUGAUGGAGGUAUUAGUACUCAAUGGUGUGUGGUCCUGAUGGAGGUGUUAGUACUCAAUGGUGUGUGGUCCUGAUGGAGGUGUUAGUACUCAGUGGUGUUGUGGUCCUGAUGGAGAUGUUAGUACUCAGUGGUGUGUGGUCCUGAUGGAGAUGUUAGUACUCAGUGGUGUGUGGUCCUGAUGGAGAUGUUAGUACUCAGUGGUGUUGUGGUCCUGAUGGAGGUGUUAGUACUCAGUGGUGUGUGGUCCUGAUGGAGAUGGGCCGGUGGCAGAGGCUCCUCCUAUCUUGGGGAUAAGGAGCUAGCAUUGGGACUGGAAGCAGGGAUAGCUGCAGCCUUCAAUACCCAUCUCUAGUGAGGAGUCUACUUCUCAAGGCCAGGACACAUCAUCUCAAGGUCCUAACACCUCCCCACAAAUAUCACCCUGGCUGGGGACCAGGUCUUCAAAAUAAGAGCUUUUGAAGGACAUUUCCAACUCAAAGCAUAUCAACUUAAAGGCACCUCUUAUGAAGUUAAGAUCAUUCUGUUGAGUUAAGGAACAUGAGCUGGGGGUGAACAGUGACUGCAACAUGGUUUGUUUGUGAUAUUACUGCCCUGGGUACAAAUUCAGAACUCAGGCCCCAAAAUAAAAAUAAAAGGGGGUUAAAAAGCUUAUAAAACUGAUUUCGCUGGCAGUGAGAUAUAUAUGGAUCUCACUAGGCCAGGAGGUGGUGGCACACACCUUUAAUCCCAGCACUCAGGAAGCAGAGGCAGGUGGAUCUUUGAGUUUGAGGUCAGCUAUAUAGUGAGUUCUAGGACAGGCAGAGUUUACACAGAGAAACCCUGUCUAGAAAACAACAACAACAACCCCCCUAUCCUCCUACCCAGUAGCAAUGCAGAUCAAAGAAAUAGGGUAUCAGGGUAUAAUCAGGAAAUAGGAUCUUAUAUGGAGGACAGUGAUAAUCCAUUUGUUUUUGGUUGUGAGCCUAGCCUUUAACGGCCGAGCCAUCUCUCCAGCCCAGAUAAUCCGUUUGUUAAACCCAGUACACCUACACAGGGACAUCCAAUACGUUAUAAGGAUACCUGCAUGUGAUAUCUAUAUCUCUCAUGGCCCAGGAAGGAAAGGAUGAGCAUAAAAUUGCAUACCUGUAAAAUUAAUUAAAAAAGAAGACUAACUACAAAGCUGUGAGCAGGGCUAGGCAGAGCCCUUGAUGGUGGGAGGAAGUAGCCUAGACCUACAACAGUCAUGUGACCUACCUGGCUGGAAGAGAAGGGGCAACGGGAUUCAAAGGAAGCCAUCUAGAGAGGAUAAGGGAACCACAGCUGCCCUUCAGAGGGCUUAUGGCCCACCAAUGAGGGAUACAGGAGGUGGCAUUCUUGCUUCUCUUUCUACCACCCCCGAAUCUCCGGAUGAUGCUAAACCCAAUAAGAAGGCAGAGGGCCGUCUUGCUCUUUGAUGUACACACGCCCUACCGGUAAGCUCCCUGGGACCCAGAACUGGGUAAAGACAGACAGAGGGAUUGGAGGAUUAACAAGAACAUCCAAGGAAGUACUCCAUGGUAUAAAUCAGACAGGCUGUGAGGGCUGUGACUCCAGGAGAAGAAAGGGAUUGAGCUUUUGAGGUGUAAAGGAACAUACUGAAGCAUGGUCUUUGUAUUAAUGUCUGAUAAUUGUGACUUGAAGGUAGGCAUGAUUUGAGUGUAAUGAACUCAACUGGGAAAGCAUCAACCAUGCUGAAGAAACUUCUGGAAAAUGACCUUGCACCCCUGUGCCAUUUGUGUUACACCCCAGGCCUUCACAGAUGAACUCAGCUGGAGAGAGAACUGACUCUUGGUUGGAGGCUUGGCUGCCCAUGGCCUGGGAUGAGAAACACAAAGCGGAAAUGUGGAGGAAGGGGAGACACCAGCCUGGGUCUCCAUCGUGUUCCUGAAAGUCCGUCUUCUUCAAAGAAGAAAAAAGGAAAACAUGUAUGCAAGAAUUUUCAAUGUUCAUGAUUCAGAACCAUCAGGAAAAAACCCAAGUGGGUAUCUUCAGCGUUAUUGAAGAUCAGUGUUGUGAGCUGACUUAUGGAUCCUCAAAAGAGAUCGUUGAACAUAGUAGACGCUCAGUAAAUUGUUGAAAUAAAACUUGCUAAACAAAAGCCCAGAUCCCACUGCCAGAGCUGCACACACCCGCUCUAGGCUUCACUUAAACUCGUAUUUUUCUGAUUUGUGAAGGAGGGUAGCUGCAAAGUGGGCAGAUCGAAACCACACUCAGACCGUCCGUCAUUGUGAAGACAGAAUGAGAUUCCAAAUGGGGAAAAUAAGUCUAUCGCCAUCUAAACAUGAGUUAGGGCUCUUGUGAGCAGAUGACAGAGAGGCCACCAGACUCUAGCUCUCCGAGACACCUGGCACAUUGUCCUUUACCAUUUCACUUGCAAAAUCAAUUCAAAUUGGCUUCAGUACAGGCAGUCCCUCAUGAGCUGACAGUCAGCCAAAAGGCGCUGAACAAAGAGCUGUAGUGAUUGUUAGCAGCUCAAACAACAAAGGCCAUGUUUACGGGAGAUGCUGGUUACAGGAGCAACCUAGGAGGAGGUCUCUGAUGAGCCAGUUUUAAGGCCUAGCAAGAAUUCUAGCAAUGUUUUCCAGGGAAACAUUUACAAAUUGGAGGUUUAAAGGG